rnacentral:misc_RNA from 1 species
GAUGAAGAACGUAGCGAAAUGCGAUAAGUAAUGUGAAUUGCAGAAUUCAGUGAAUCAUCGAAUCUUUGAACGCACAUUGCGCCCGCCAGUAUUCUGGCGGGCAUGCCUGUCCGAGCGUCAUUUCAACCCUCGAACCCCUCCGGGGGGUCGGCGUUGGGGAUCGGCCCUGCCUCUUGGCGGUGGCCGUCUCCGAAAUACAGUGGCGGUCUCGCCGCAGCCUCUCCUGCGCAGUAGUUUGCACACUCGCAUCGGGAGCGCGGCGCGUCCACAGCCGUUAAACACCCAACUUCUGAAAUGUUGACCUCGGAUCAGGUAGGGAUACCCGCUGAACUUAAGCAUAUCAAUAAGCGGAGGA